ACCUGUGAGUGGCUGCAGGAAAGAAGAAAUUAGCACACUCCCUCAGGAGUCUGCCCAGAACCAGAAAUGUUUUCGUUGACCCCCUCCACUUUUAGUAUAAAAGAAGCCUGAAUUCUAACUGAGGGUUCUUUGGGAUGCUACCAUCUUCUCCGUCUUGCUGGCUAUCUAAAUAAAGUUGCUGUUCCUUACUCCAGCAACUUGUCUCUGGAGUUUUUGGCCUGUCCUGCAGCAACAUUACAAGCUUGAACUCAGCAACACUGCCACCUGUCAGAAAGUGUAGCCAAGCAGGAUCCUAUGGGGACUUCCCAGAAGAGCCCCUGAUCUAGGUCCUCUGCGUGCCUCUUGUCUGUGGAAAAACUGUGGCCUCCUGGGCUUCCCUGAGGUCCAAAGAGUACAUUUACUCAGAGAGAGACUGAAACCCCCACCAGGAGGAAGAAGUUAACUCUGUGCCGCCCACAAGCACGUAGCCCCAGUCGGGUCGGAACCAGAAGGUUGAUGACAUUGACUCCUGAUGACAUUGACAACUGAUCAGAAGGAUGUCCACGAGCUGAUCACACACCCCAGAAUCCCCCUCCCUUAUCCUGUCUUUAAAAACCUUCUCCUGAGAGCCUUCAGGGAGUUUGGGCCUUUAAAACACUAGCUGCCCUUUAAAACACUAACUCCUUACUUGGUUCCCUGCAGUAAACACUGCACUUUCCUUCACCAGAACCCAGUGUAAGUAGAUUGGCUUGCCUGCACGUGGGAAAGCAGACCCAAAUUUGGUUCAGUAACAGCAGCACUAGUGUUUAUUAAUAUUUCUGCCAUAAAAACAUUAUUCACAUAAGCCAGAAUCUAGCCCACCUCCUGUUUUUAUAAAUAAAGUUUUAUUGAAACACAGUCCUGCAUAUUUGUUUACAAUUGCCCUUGGCUGCUCUGGACACUGCAGAGGCAGAAUUGAGUAACUGUGACAGAGAUUAUUUGGCCCCUUUCACUGAAAAUAUUUACUGUCCUUGCCCUUUACAGAAGUUGCCAGCCCCUUCUCCAGAGCAGUGUCACAGUGCAAGCUGACAAUCAUUGGUAAAAACUGGUUCUCAAAAUGUGGUCCUUGGACUGGCGGCAUCAGUAUCACCUGGGAAUGUGUUAGGAAUGCAAAUUCUUGGGCCCCACCCUAUACCUACUGAAUUAGAAAUGCUAGAGGUGGGGCCCAAGAAUGUGUUUUUACCAGUCUCCCAGGUGAUGCUCCCAGGUGAGCAUGUUUAGAAGAUGCAAGCUCAUGUUGAAAAUCACAGAUCUAAAACAGCCAUGGAGAAAAUGCCAGUAAGUGACUGGCAGAGAAAGGUGUCAGUGGGCUCCCAGGGCAACAGAAGAGUUGAAAAGAUGUCAGGAGAGUGAUGGCCCAUCCGCUGCCUGGUCCCUCUGCAGCAAAGCCUUUGACGGCCCUUGGACCAGGCCAUGCCAGCCGGGAGGGGACCUCUCACCAGCCACCUGUGCCAAUGCCCAGGCCCCGUGCCUGGCGGCCCCGCCCUCCCACAGGCUUGUCAGCGCAUUUGGGGCUGUCUCCACGCACAAAUUCAUGGACCAGCUGUCUCUUUUAAUCUGGUUUCAAGAUGAAACCAUUAAUAGAUGUCAGACACAUUGGCAAUGAUCUCUUCAUUAAUAAUUUCCUCCUUUCUGAGAAAAAAAAUUAGUAACAAGCAAUCAUCAAUAAUUCAAAAAUACAAGUUAACCUUUCUAUUAGCAGAGUGGUUCUGCACACACCACAGACUCUUUCAGAGCCAAUAGUUCUGGUUUAAAU
ensembl:lncRNA